UACAGAGGGGGCGAGCGUUGUUCGGAAUUACUGGGCGUAAAGGGCGCGUAGGCGGCCUGCUAAGUCAUACGUGAAAUCCCUCGGCUCAACCGAGGAACUGCGUCUGAUACUGGUUGGCUUGAAUUCGGGAGAGGGAUGCGGAAUUCCAGGUGUAGCGGUGAAAUGCGUAGAUAUCUGGAGGAACACCGGUGGCGAAGGCGGCAUCCUGGACCAAUUCUGACACUGAGGAGCGAAAGCCAGGGGAGCAAACGGG
rnacentral:rRNA from 1 species